GGUGAGUAACGUCUGGGAACCUGCCCUUGAGUGGGGGAUAACCCGGCGAAAGCCGGGCUAAUACCGCUUACCACCCGCUGUCGUGGAGAUGGCGGGUGAAAGAUUUAUCGCUCGAGGAGGGGCCCGCGUGGGAUUAGCUAGUUGGUGAGGUAACGGCUCACCAAGGCGAUGAUCCCUAGCUGGUCUGAGAGGAUGAUCAGCCACACUGGGACUGAGACACGGCCCAGACUCCUACGGGAGGCAGCAGUGGG
rnacentral:rRNA from 1 species